GCCCUUGUAGUUCAAUGGACAGAACGGGAGCCUUCUAAGCUCUUAAUGCAGGUUCGAUUCCUGCCGAGGGCACCA
rnacentral:tRNA from 1 species